ACGGAAGGCAGCAGUGAGGAAUAUUGGUCAAUGGGCGAGAGCCUGAACCAGCCAAGUAGCGUGAAGGAUGACUGCCCUAUGGGUUGUAAACUUCUUUUGUUGGGGAAUAAAGUGCGGGAUGUAUCCCGUUUUGUAUGUACCCUUCGAAUAAGCAUCGGCUAAUUCCGUGCCAGCAGCCGCGGUAAUACGGAAGAUGCGAGCGUUAUCCGGAUUUAUUGGGUUUAAAGGGAGCGUAGGCGGCCUUUUAAGUCAGCGGUAAAAUGUCGGAGCCAACUCCGGCCUGCCGUCGAUACUGGGGGGCUUGAAUACACACAAGGAAGGUGGAAUUCGUCGUGUAGCGGUGAAAUGCUUAGAUAUGACGAAGAACUCCGAUUGCGAAGGCAGCCUUCUGGGGUGCGAUUGACGCUGAGGCUCGAAAGCGCGGGUAUCAAACAGGAUUAGAUACCCUGGUA
rnacentral:rRNA from 1 species